CACCACGCCCCCUCACCCACCAUGCCCCCACCACCAGGGAAAGACCAUACUAUUUGAAACUGUGAGCCAAAAUGCACCUCUCCUCCUUUAAGCUGUCCUGUCAGGCUCUUUGUCACAAUCAUGUGGGAAGUAACCAACACACUACGAUUUCUGCUUUGGUGAGCGACACUUUCAUGUUUUUUCUAUACACAUAUGUACAUGUGUGGGGAGGUCCUUCUGUGCAUAUGUCUCUCUUAUUGGUUAAUGAAUAAAACACUGUUGGCCAAUAUGGAAGCAAGAUAGGCAGGACUAGGUGAGAAGGAGGAUGCUGGGAAAUGUAGUAAGAGAUGAAGUCACCAUGUGAUCGCCAGGAAGAAAGGAUGCACAUGUCCAGUGUCCUCCAUAAGAUAAGUCUUUAUAAAAUGUAUAGAUUAAUGGUUAUGUUUGAUACUUAAGACAGAAAUAGCAUAUAAGAAAUCCUAGUCAUUGGCCAGCAGCAUUGUACCUAAUAUAAGUCUCUGUGUGUUAUUUUGGGGCCCUAACAUGGCGGCGGGCGGAACUCAGGAGGCUGGCGGAAAGAGUUAUCGUUACAAAAUGGCGCCCACGUAGUUUUAUGAACUUCCACAUUAAAACUUGACAAAAUCUUAAAAGGGGAUUUUAGAAGCAAAAGAACAGAGACAAGCAUGACUUCUUGGUAGCAGCAUUUUCUCUGGUGGUCUCUAUUUUGCUAGAGACAAACGAGAAUAGAGUGGCUCCCUUAAGGGGGGUUUUCUGACUCAGCAUAAGCAGAAAAAACCACAGGGCUCUUUAAGAGGCCCUGCUCACAAUUGAAUAGUGGUGUACGAGCAGCUGGCAAUGGCAGUGACUGCAGAAUGCUACUUGAUGGUAGCAUAGACCAAGGCAGUGAGCACAGCACUCAGUCCUGGCGGUAAAUGUACCCCCUCCAUCUUGCAAAGACAGGGGCUUUGUUGUUUAGCAGAUAAAAGACUUCAUGGCCACAAAAAGGGAAAGAUUUACAGUAAAGACAGAUUCAGAUGAAGAAAAACCUCUAAAGGUUUACAAUGUGUUUAAAAAUAUACGUAGGCUUGUGAGAGAAAAAGAAACUGGAUAAAGUGUUUAAAAAAACAAAGAAGAAGAAAUAGAGUAGCUAGGUGUGGUGGCACAUGCCUUUAAUCCCAGCACUCAGGAGGCAGAGGCAAGCAGAUCUCUGUGACUUCAAGGCCAGCCUGGUGUCCAGAGUGAGUUCAAGGGCAGCCAAAGUUCCACAGAGAAACCCUGUCUCAUAAAAGGAAAAAAUAAAAGUAAAAGAAAUAGAGUAAUGAAAAGCCACGUAAAGAUGGAAGAUACACAGAGAGUCUGGAUACUGUAUGCUAUUGUGUUGUCUUCGAAUUGUUUAAUUUCUGGGGAAGGAGCAACAACUGCUAAAAGAUAUUUGAUUAUCAAUGCUGCUGAAUUAAUCCAACUUAUACAUUUUAAAAAUGCUUUGACUUCAAAAUUUAAGUCUAAGGACAGGCUACUUGGGAAAAGAAUUUCUGCUUUUGUUUUCACAGAAAAUGAAAAGCUGUGGAUUCCUUCCAGACUAAUAUGGUUUGAUCAAGCAAGACCCCCUGAAGCAGUGGCCCAACUGAUCCUAAAUCCAAAAGAGCUGAGAUGAUGCAGUCAUAGACCACUACAGCCAGGGUUUCUGUGGUUUAUCAUGAUUCCCAUGGUAUGGACAUCACCCCCAACCAGCAGGAAGCAGUUUGGAAUGAACGAUGCCCAAAUUCCCAAAUACUGUUUAUAAAUGUUGGUUUUCAUUUAAAUGAGGUUGGUUAUAAAUGGUACUGAUCACAGUCAAUCUCUUUUUAAAGGAAGAAAGGGGAAUAGGAUAUAGAAGCGAGUACUUUGCAUUAGUAUGGAUUUUCAUCUAUUGAUGCAAAUUUAAGGUCAAUUUUGUGAUAUGUAUAUGUUUCCUCUUGUUUAGGUAUUGUGUUUAUACUGAUCUUUUAAAAUGUAAUGGAUAAUUAAAUGCAGAUUGUAUAUAGGCAGUAUAAUAGUCAAAAUUUAGAGUUAGGUUAGUUAGGUUUUCUAGAUAUACAGAGAUGUAUUUGAGAUGGAUAGAUAUUCUUCAAACUUUUCAAAGACCUACAGAAUAUAUGGCAUUUAAAUGGUUUAGGAUUUUUCAUGGCAGUGAGACACAACUGCUCCUGGUACACCAAUUAUGUCUGAGAGGAUAGAUGAUAGAAUAUUUUCUUUAAAAUCUUGCUAAAUGUUAAUGGACUAAAUAUCAUAACUAUAGUUCUUACUUGAUAACUGUUUUGUUAUGUAUUUUACUAUGUUAAUGUUAAAAGCCUUCUUUAUAUUUAUACAGAAAAGAGGAGAUGAUGGGGGAGGUCCUUCUGUGUAUAUGUCUCUCUUAUUGGUUAAUAAAUAAAACACUGUUGGCCAAUAGGGAAGCAAGAUAGGCAGGAAUAGGAGGGAAAUGUAGUAAGAGAUGAAGUCACCAUGUGAUCGCCAGGAAGAAAGGAUGCACAUGUCCGGCAUCCUCAGUAAGUCUUUAUAAAAUAUAUAGAUGAAUGGUUAUGGUUGAUACCUAGGACAGAGCUCACAUAUAAGAAAUCCUAGUCAUUGACCAGCAGCAUUGUACCUAAUAUAAGUCUCUGUGUGUUAUUUUGAGGCCCUAACGUGGCAGCGGGCAGAACUCAGGCGGCUGGCAGAAAGAGUUAUUGUUACACAUGUGUAUAUAUUUUUAAUAAAAAUAAGAUCAUAUUAUGUUUGCUUUUAACCUAUCCUUCCCACUCUCUCCCUUAGUAAUAUGCUGUCAACGUCUUUGUGCUUUGAUUACUUCCUACAACAGUGACUGUUUUGCUGUCUUGGGUUGUGUCCCUAUUUGAGAAUCUCUAAGAAUCUUCUUAGAGUAUUCCAGAAGUAUACACAGACCCAACAGUUAUGCAUAAGAUUUCAGAAAUUCCCUAAGCCAUGGGCCCUGGCUGACAGCCCUAAUAUUACAAUAUCACUUUUAAUGUCUGCAUGACAUUCCAUCUCUGAAGGAUGUUGAAUAGGUUCUGAGGCCAGCCUUAAACAGUCCUUUCUGAUUGGACAUUUAGGUCAUUUCUCGGUUUGCCUUUUAUUGCUGUAAACAACGCUGAGGUUACUACUUGUAUGGAUAAAUCUUUGAGUUUAGCCCAGUUUAUUUCUUUGGGAUCAAUUCCAAGGGUUUGGUCAUUUUAAAGACUUUUGAUUGUGGUGUUUUCUUUUAAUUAAUUUAUUUUAUUACUUAUGUGUAUCAGUGUUUUUCUCACUGUAGUUAGAAGUUUUUCUGUCUCACCCAGUCCCAGUGGACAGGUUUCUCUCCCACCGACCAGGUCCCCAUAGACACUUAUGAAAUAAUCACUCAGAGGCUAUAUCAGUUACAAUUGUUUGGCCAAUGGCUCAGACAUAUUACUAACUAGCUCUCUCUUAUUAAUUAACCCAUUUCUAUUUAUGUAUUGGCACAAGGCUGUAGCUUACUGGUAACGCUCCAACAUGUUACUCCUUGGUCUACUACAUGGCAUCUCCCUAACUCCUCCUUCCUUCUCUCAGCAUCUUUAUUUGGAUUUCCCAUCUAGCUACAUUUUGCCUGGUCAUUGAUCAAAACAGUUUUAUUCAUCAACCAAUAAAAGCAACACGUAUUUGCAGCAUACAGAAGGACAUCCCAUAUCAUUUCCCCUUUUCUAUCUAAUUAAAAAAGAAAGGUUUUAGUUUUAACACAGUAAAAUUACAUAUAACAAAACAGUUAUCAAGCAAGAAUUACAGUUACAGUAUUUAGUCUAUUUGCAUUUGGCAAAAUUAAAGAAAAUACUCUCUCAUCUAUCCUAUCUUUGUGAGUCUAAAGUUUUAUAUCUAAUUUAUCUUUUAUCAUAACUAAGGAAAACUAUAACUAUCUGUAUUCAACUCCAUCAAAGACCUCGGAAGGAUGUAAUAUUAUCUAAGUAAACAGGAAGUGCACUGUAAGCAACUUCCAAAAUUCUAGAAAUGACAAAGACAUCUGGCUGCCAAACUUUGGCCACCCAAAGUUCCUCUGCAAUGUUGGGGCAUCCAUCUUCAGCCUGCAUGCCUAGAGUAUCAGGCAGACUUUUCAGUGAAGCAGAAAAUUUGAAGAUCUGCUUUGCCUUGUACUGGCAAAGUUCAUCAGUUGCUUUCUUCUGUGUCCUGUAGAAUGUGUUGGGGCCCAUUGUUACUGACUCCCUCCAUCUUGACUUAAAGUCAGAGAGUGCAAACCUAUUCUUGCUCCUCAAGGUUAAACAACAGGAUGUUUGGCCAAAGGUGUGGCUACUGGAUGUCUUGACCCUCAAGACCAAAUUACAGGAUGUUUGACUUAGGGCAUGAUUACCAGAUGCUUUGAGAAUUAAGGAGGUAAUUACGUUUGUUUGUUCCUUAUAUCAUGGUAAGGAAGUCUUUUGACCUCCCCUUUUGCUUGGAGUAUAUAAGGGCUAUCAGUAAUAAACUUGGGGUUUAUUUACUGAGAGCCCUCCCAACUGUUUUGUCUUUUGUCUCUUCUCUCAAUCCUCACUCCUCGUUUCAGCCACAUUCAAACAGGUCAGCUUGUUUCCUGCAAGAAUGUCUAGCAGACUCUUCCAUGAAGCAGGAACCCUAAAAGACUGUCCCAUCUUGUUUAGCAGUCAUUUUCUUGUGGGUCCUGCAUGUCCAGUUUAUACAGCAUACUGUCAAGCAGUCCAGGCAAGAGCAGUUUCUUGCCCAAUUGGCUAGCUUUUGCCAUAAAGAAAACAAACUCCAUAGGGAGUUAAACUUCACUGAAAUAGAUUGGUGCUGCCAGGAGCAGACAUGUCUCAUUGUCAUGAAAAGCCUAAGUUCUUAAAACAUUUUAAAUGCCAUUUUAAAGUGUUUGGAAGAUUACCUAUCCAUCUGAAAUUUAUCUCUGUAUAUCUAGAAAACAUAACUAACAUGACUAUAAGUUUGACUAUUAUAUAUGACUAUCUAUUAAUCUGUAUUUCUUAAUUAUACAUUACAUUUUUAAUGAGCUGUAUAAACAUAAUGCCUUAAAUAAGAGUAUAAAUAUAUACAGAAUAACAAAACUGACCUUAAAUUUGUAUUAUAAACCAAAAUUCAUACCAAUGUAAAGUAUUCAUUUCUCUGUCAGUCCACCGAGUGCUUCCAGAGGGCAGGUGUUCUGCAAUUAGAGUUACGGGUGCUCUGAGCCACCAUAUGGGGCUAGGAGACCAACCUGGGUCCUCUGGAAGAUCGGACAGCAUCUAAAGCACUGAGCUAUCUCUUCAGCUCUGGUUUUGUGCCUUUUUAAUGCUGGCUAGGAACUUUUCUUUCUCUUUUUGCUGUCCUGGAGGCAAAGACUUCUCCCGGUCAGGGUUGGGCCUGUUGGGACUGUUGGCUUUCCCUCCUCAACACAAAUCCUGAAAGUUAAGUUGCCCAGACUUAGCCUAAAAACUUUUUUGUUUUUUGUGGGGGUUUUUUAUUGUUGUUUUUCAAGACAGGGUUUCUUUGUGUGGCCUUGGCUAUCCUGAAACUAGCUUUAUAGACCAGGCAAGCCUUGAACUCACAGAGAUUUAUCUGCCUCUGCCUCCCAAGUGUUAGUAUUAAAGUGCCUCUACUGCCUGGCACCUAAGAACUUUUUGAAAGAGAGAUCAUUCAUUUUUGUAGCAGGUUCGGAGGGCAUAGCAUGGCACAUGUGUACAGUCAGAGACUGCUUCUAGGAACCAGCCCUCCUUCUACCAGGCUUGGUAGCAAGUACCUUUACCCUCCGAGCCAUUGCUCCACACCUAAGACCUUUCUUUGAAGAUUUUUUUGCUCUGCUAGAAAAACCAUCAUAAACAGUUUUAAAAAGAAAAAGGGAAAAAACAAAACAAAACACUUUCAUUGAGUUUAACUUUUAAAUUGUAAAAUUUUGAUACCCAAAGCAAAUGGAGGCUCCCUUUCACCAAAGGUGAUGCAGUAAUGUGGCUGUUCCCUCCCUCCUACUUUUAGACAAUCAAAUCAAAUUUAUCAGGAGGGGGAAUUUAAAAAACAAACAAACAAACAAACAAAAAAAGCUCUUAAGUUCAACAUAAGUUAUCUGCAAUGAAGUUUAUAAGGAGAAACCUGCACAUAAUGGGCACUUGAUAAAUGUUUGUUGAACUAUGUUGCGAGAUCAAGACACACAGCCUGGAGGAAAAGAGGAUGCCAAGUGCACGUUUAGCUGCAAAAGCUUUCAUUAACUGUGGCAGUGUUAAAUACAGUAGGCACUAACGAGGGGAGGGUGACCUGAAUACACCAGAACAGGGAACUCCAAAUGAACUCUGUGAAGUCUUGAAACAGUCCACCGGUUUUCCCAGUAACAGAUGUAACCUUUCUGGUUUUGUUUGGCUUAGGCAAAUACUGCAGUAAGCUCAUCCUCCGGAACCCACAAAGAUGAUAUGCUGGGCAACCGAGUUUCCUAGUGGGAUGUAAAAGUCAUCAGGUGUUGGAUGUGGUGGGUACACCCCUAACCCCAGCUCUCGGGAGGUGGCAGUAGAAGGAUUUCUCUGAGUUUGAAGCCAGCCUUGCCUACAUAGCAAAUUCCAAGCCAGCCAGGGCUGCACAGUCUCUGCUUCCUGUUUGUGGAUUGAGAUGGGUGUUCUCAGCUGCUGCUCCCAUACCGUGCCUGCCCACUACUGCUGUGCUCCCACCAUGAUGGUGAUGGACUCCUUUUCCUCUAGAACUGGUCUUGGUAUGUUACCAAAGAAGAAAAGUAAGACAAUGGGAUAUAUUUAAAAAAAUCAAGAAAUUAUUAUUUGUUGAAUUGGCCAUGUAUCUCAAAGGGAAAGUCCUUGCCUUACAAAAACAGUUGUUGCCCCCACUUUAUUUAAGACAGGGUCUCUCUGUGUAGCUCUGGCUAUCAUGAAACUCAAUAUGUAGACCAAGCUAGCUUCAAACUCACAGUGAUCCACCUGUGUCUGCCUCUCAAGUGCUGAGAUUAAAGGCAUGGCCCAUUACCCCAUGUUUACUCUUCACUGCAGUCAUGCUUGUAGAAAAGAUUCUAUUAUUUUUGUUUAAUUCAGUUUAAGUGUGAUGGUG
rnacentral:lncRNA from 1 species